rnacentral:rRNA from 1 species
GGAGUCUGGGCCGUGUCUCAGUCCCAAUGUGGCCGAUCAACCUCUCAGUUCGGCUACUGAUCGCAGACUUGGUGGGCCAUUACCCCGCCAACUAUCUAAUCAGACGCGAAUUCAUCCUACAGCAAACUCUUACGAGCCCCUUUAAUAUAAACUUCAUGCGAAACCUAUAUGUCAUUGGGUAUUAGCGUCCAUUUCUAGCCGUUGUCCCCAUCUGUAGGGCAGAUUAUUCACGUGUUACUCACCCGUCCGCCACUAAGCAACAUCUGAUCCUUCCGAAGAAUUCACAAAUGCGCCCCGUUCGACUUGCAUGUGUUAGGCGCGCCGCCAGCGUCGUCCUCGAGCCACUGAUCAAACUCU